AUGGUUAUAUCACAUUGAAACACCAGUUCCUGUAUAAUCACUGAGGUUGAGCAACAUCAAGCCUGUUCAGUACCUAGAUGGGUGACCACUUUGGAAUACCAGGUGCUGUAAG